rnacentral:rRNA from 1 species
CUACGGGGCGCUGCAGUGAGGAAUAUUGCGCAAUGGGGGAAACCCUGACGCAGCGACGCCGCGUGGAUGAUGAAGGCCUUAGGGCCGUAAAAUCCUGUCAGGUGGGAAGAAGUGGAUAUAGAUUAAUACUCUAUUUCUUUGACGGUACCACCAAAGGAAGCACCGGCUAACUCCGUGCCAGCAGCCGCGGUAAUACGGAGGGUGCAAACGUUGUUCGGAAUUACUGGGCGUAAAGCGCGCGUAGGCGGUUUGUUAAGUCAGAUGUGAAAGUCCAUGGCUCAACUACGGAAGUGCAUUUGAAACUGGCAGACUUGAGUACUGGAGGGGGUGAUGGAAUUCCCGGUGUAGAGGUGAAAUUCGUAGAUAUCGGGAGGAAUACCGGUGGCGAAGGCGAUCACCUGGCCAGAUACUGACGCUGAGGUGCGAAAGCGUGGGGAGCAAACAGGAUUAGAUACCCGGGUAGUC